UACGAAGGGGGCUAGCGUUGCUCGGAUUUACUGGGCGUAAAGGGCGCGUAGGCGGACAGUUUAGUCAGAGGUGAAAGCCCGGGGCUCAACCCCGGAAUUGCCUUUGAUACUGGUUGUCUUGAGUUUGGGAGAGGUAUGCGGAACUCCGAGUGUAGAGGUGAAAUUCGUAGAUAUUCGGAAGAACACCAGUGGCGAAGGCGGCAUACUGGCCCAAUACUGACGCUGAGGCGCGAAAGCGUGGGGAGCAAACAGGAUUAGAAACCCUUGUAGU
rnacentral:rRNA from 1 species